CUGUGAUUUGCUAAUAAAUAAAUCAGGCUGGACCUGUACACAACCGGGUGGGCGAAUAAAGACAACCACGCCUAUCUGAGGCCAUGUGGUUUGGAGAUCUGAUCACUAGUCCGAAAAGAAAAGGCUGUUUUCAAGAUUUCUGGGGUGUUUUUUCCUGGAAAAGGUCUCCUGACAAAUGCAGCAGCAAAGAAUUCUCGUAUGAGUGGUCUAGGUUCUGUGUGAGCUACUUACCUUAGUCAAGUUUCACUGCUGUGGAUCAUCAUCCAUUAUAUGUCAUCAAUUCAACUGUCUGUUUCUCUAUAUCUCAUAAAAGACAGCAUAAUUCCUCUACAUUAUGAGCUAAAAGUCUGUUCUACCAUUCUAAGGAGCACUGGACUAAGGAAUAUAGAUAUAAGAGAUAUGCUUGGGCAUUAGCAAUACAAAAAGUUCAUGGUUAACGUUUCAUCUGCGUUAUACACCACUGCUGGACUCGAUGUUACCUACAUGUUUUGAUCUGAAGAGUCUACUGCACUGAAGAGUAUUCAUCCCAAUCAGCCUUAGAGAAGACUGUUUUGUCUAUGGGAGGACACUGAGGUGCAAAAGAGAAUCUCUUCUUGUGCCCUGGACUGUCUGAAUUGCUUUUAUUUUCUUAUUCUUUCAGUAUAUACAAUAGACCAAAGAGCAAAAUCUAUUUUAAAGUGGACACAAUCUUACUGUUAAGAGAGCUAUCUGGGUUAAAUUGUAGGGUCGUCUCCACAAAGACAUGAUUUCAACUCUCACAAAGCUGAGAUGUUCCUGUACAGCAGAAGUCUUUAUGGAACACUGCAGUAAAAACUAAACUAGAAAAUUACUCUUGAAAACCACAUUAUAAACAAUGAAAUGGAGCAUGGAGAGAAAACGGCAUAUGUUUGAAAAACUACAAACUGUCUACAUGGCACCUUUAUUCCUCUGUACUUAGAUUGACUUUCUCGUACUAAAAUCAUUUUCAGUUUUAACCAGUUAAACAUGCCUCUUCUACAGUUCCAUUUUUUGAUAGUUAAAAUUGGAUAAUACAGUAUUUGCAAAGAGCAUGUUUGGUCAUCUGUGGCCUAUGUCUCAUCUGAUACACCAUUUAGCACCAGAAAGCAAAUUAAAGAAAAAAAAAGUAACACUUGUUUGAAAGAGAUCAUUAAAUGUAUUUUGAAAAGCCUAAAGUUAUAUAUUUAACAGUUUUUAUAUGUUGUAUAUUUGUAGAAAAUCCUAUUUAACAAUUAACGUGAUAACUCUGACGGUCAUGACAAAUGGUUCAGAGUUAAGUUGUGUUUUAUUACUUCAGUUGUCUCUGAAGUGACAGGUGUCAUUUGCUUUCUUCCAUUAGGACAUUCUGGAUGUAAAGCAUGACAAGAGAGGACUCUGUAGAAAAAGCAAAGAAUAAUGAUGUUUCUAUUACAUAAAUGCAUUCAACCAUUGCACUGUUGGAAGGCAUUUUUUUUUGUCUUUAUGUACUGGUAAAAAUAGAGUGUAAAAUAUUUUAAUCAUGGCUUUCCAUACCGAGGUUUUUUUUUCUCUCUCUCUCUCUUUCUCUCUCCUUCUCCUCACCCUCCUCUACAUAAUACAGUAUAAAGGUCAAUUUGCGGCCUGUUCCUUGACCCAGAUUCAAUGUUUUACUUGAUCGUUAAAAAACCCACUUUUUUGGCAUUAUCAGGUAGUGAAAAGUUAAUGCAAAGACAGCAUAAAAAAGAGGAGAAAUAAAGAUAAAAAGAUCCCUCACUCCCUAUAACUGUACCUUUCUAUAUAUGUCUGGUACAUAUUGAUAUGAUGAAAUCAACAAAUGAGCUUAACUUCUUCCUGGCAAAUGUAUUCCAGUUUUAACUAUUUCUCCAAGUUUCCACUGUAGUAUACUACCUAAUACUCCAAUUAACUUUUAGUACUAUGCUAGUUCUAUGCUACUAAAGAAAAAUAUAUAGAGACUGUUCAAGCAACCAUAGAUAAAAAAAUUACAAAAACAAAAGGUUAUUUUUCUUUUGUAAGGCCUGUUCAACUAUUCAGGCUUAUUUAAUACACAGGUUGCAGAAACCAUGAAUUAUAGGUGACUGUGUCUUUUGAGUAAAAUAUAUAAGAAUUUCUUAUUUAAUCUUAAGGUUUUCGACCAGUAUCAAAGUAGCAAUUCAAUGCCAGUCACUUGAAGUGUUAUGAACUGACUGCACUAUAAAUGACCAACGUCUGGUUUAAAAUGUCAUGCAAUAAACAAUGGUAAAUACAUUUACUGUACUACUAGAACUCAAGAGCCAGAUCCCUCAUUCCACCAAUUUUCUGUUUUGUUUCAGUUUAUUUUUAAAGAAGUGUAGUAGCCUUAUUUAGUAAACACAGAAAAACUAAAGAUGUUACGUUUUUGUUGCUUUACAGUAUUCAGUUUUGUGUUGGUUCAGCUAAAUUAUGGAAAUAAAGAAAAUCCUUUUAUAAGUGAGACUUUUGUUCCCUGAUCAUGAUGUCACACAGAGAAUUUCAGUAGAGGGCGCUUGCGGGUAGGGGAACAGGGAAGUAGAUUCUCACAAUGAAAUAGGUGAAAAUGUUCAGUAUUGGAAAUUGAAAUAAUACCCUACAUUUGUAAAAUUGUUAACAGUUUGGGGCACUGACAUUUUUGGGUGCACAGUCUGAGACAAGCACCAAGUACCCAUUCUCUGGAAAUUAGGCCCCUUUUACAUGUCUCAGAUUGGACACGCAAAAUCAGUAGUCACUUUUGAAAAUUUCAUCUAAUAUCUCUAUGUUUUCAUUACUUUGAAUGCUCAACAAAAGAGAAAUAUGUCCUUGUUUUUAAGAUCUGCUCAGAAGCAACAUAGCACAAAAAGUUUAGAUUAUUGGUCAGAGACAAGUGUACAUUCUAGCUAGAAAUGGGGAUGAGCCUAGUUUGUGUGACAGAAGUCUCAAAUCACUUCAAAAGAGAACUUUUCAGAAUGUACAUUUUCAAAUGAAUGAAAUAUACUGACUGUUUUUGUAAAUAUAAAUUAGUGUCCUCAAUGCUAUGCUGAAACCUUUAUCUUUCAGUGACGUUACACUUUUACAAUGUUGUGGGCUUCAAACCUUAUGGAACUUGAUUUCACAAAGAAUUUUGACUGGUUUAUGUGGGUAUUUUAUGUGCCUCUUCCACAAAGAAAUUUAAAGCUUAGUAGAGGCAUAUCUGAUUUGAAUGCUGUUAAAUAUCCUCCUUUUCUCAGUUUUCAAAUGGGUAACUUUCCAAAACACACAGAAAGGAUGAUAAAAUAUGAAAAGAGUAGAGUUAGAGAAAAAGGUCACCCCACAGUCUAACAAAAACAAAAAUACAGAAAAAUACAGAAGACUUUUCGUAUAAUUUUCAGAAAAGCUGCUGGUAUAGCUUUCUGUCAGCCCGUGCAGGGACAGAUCAAACUAAUGCUUCAAACAACUGAGAUUUCACAAGACUAUUAUUGAAGUAAAUAUUAACACACUGUAGCAAUCCACAUAGCAAUUUCUCUGAUUUCAUAAUUACAUUUCUAACUUGCUCUUUUAUUGUGAACAAAUCUUUUUCUUUUUCUUACUGUAUAGGUUUUAUGCACACAAUGUUCUUUGGUCAGCUGCUUGUUUACUGAAAGUGUACCCACAUGUUUUUGUGUAAAUAUUUAAUCCUCACGUUUUCUAUGUAAUAUGGCCUAAUAAUCAUCGUCUUGAGUAUUAAUUAGAGUUCCAUAAGAAAAUAAAGA